GUAGGAAUCCCAAAUCUGAUAUUUUUGCUAAUGAUUGUAUUGGCAGACGCAAGCGAAAAAGAGAGGAGUCUCCUGGCCAAAGUGAGGCAGGCUGUCGGCCCCAUAAGAAGCAGAAAACACAAACUCACAACAAUGAGACCUUGAGUUCACUCAGUUCGAGUGGAAACCUCUUGAACCAUACAAAGACCAGCACAAAGAGGAAAUCCUCCACAAAUGGAUAUCUCAGUCGGUAUAAUGUCCAGGUUAUUGGGUGAAUGAACAAGGAACCAGGAUUCACUUUCUGAUUGGUCAUGUAGUGGUACUCCUGUCUUGGGCAAACCGCCUAAAAAAUCUCGUGAAAGCCUUGGGGAUGCAGCUCACAUUUUGAAGACAAGUGAAAGUGUGGCAACUACAUCAUCCAGUCAUACCCCUAUCGCGAAUGCCACCACCACAACACUUUCCUCUUGUGGGGCAGAGGGCAGAUCAACUGACAAGUCUGAGACUGUCAAGCCAGGUGA